rnacentral:rRNA from 1 species
AUUGAACGCUGGCGGCAUGCUUUACACAUGCAAGUCGAACGGUAACAGGGAGCUUGCUCCGCUGACGAGUGGCGAACGGGUGAGUAAUGCGUCGGAACGUGCCGAGUAGUGGGGGAUAACGCAUCGAAAGGUGUGCUAAUACCGCAUACGAACUGAGGUUGAAAGUGGGGGACCUUCGGGCCUCACGCUAUUCGAGCGGCCGACGUCUGAUUAGCUCGUUGGUGAGGUAAAGGCUCACCAAGGCGACGAUCAGUAGCGGGUGUGAGAGGAUGAGCCGCCACACUGGGACUGAGACACGGCCCAGACUCCUACGGGAGGCAGCAGUGGGGAAUUUUGGACAAUGGGCGCAAGCCUGAUCCAGCCAUGCCGCGUGUCUGAAGAAGGCCUUCGGGUUGUAAAGGACUUUUGUCCGGGAGCAAAUGCUGGUGGCUAACAUCCACCGGAGCUGAGAGUACCGGAAGAAUAAGCACCGGCUAACUACGUGCCAGCAGCCGCGGUAAAAC